UUAACUGUUAUGCUAUGAAUUUUUUUUCUUUCUGCUGUUCCCUUAUUUUCAGAAAUGGAUGUGUUGGUAAAGUGGAAGAAAGAUGGGAGCCAGAAUAUUGUCAGUGCUGAAGACCUGCAUCUGGAUGGGAAGCGCUCAAUUAAGAAGGGUGCAACCGUUCAGAUGAGGGGGAAGUAUUCUUGGUGGAAAGGGAAGGUCAUCUCCAUAUUUCAGAGAAUUGUGCCAGAACGAAAUCAAGGUCCCAUAGGUCCAAGUGACUCUACUGGAGUGCUUCCACAAGGUCCCAAGGACUCUGCAAAUGACGGUGAGGACGAAGAUGAUCUUCCUCUGACAAUGCUUGAGCCAAAACAAAAUCGAGGUCCCAUAGGUUCAAGUGGUUCUACUGGAGUGCUCCCACAAGGUCCCGGGGACUCUGCAAAUGACGAUGAGGACGAAGAUGAUCUUCCUCUGACAAUGCUUGUGCCAGAACGAAAUCGAGGUCCCAUAGGUCCAAGUGGUUCUACUGGAGUGCUCUCACAAGGUCCCAGGGACUCUGCAAAUGAUGGUGAGGACGAAGAUGAUCUUCCUCUGACAAUGCUUGGGCCAAAACAAAAUUGAGGUCCCAUAGGUCCAAGUGAUUCUACUGGAGUGCUUCCACAAGGUCCCAAGGACUCUGCAAAUGACGAUGAGGACGAAGAUGAUCUUCCUAUGACAAUACUUGAGUUAUCACAAGAUCUGAUUGAACUUGAGACAUUUAUGUCUAUACCAGACAUGCCAGGUGAUGAUGACGCCAGCCAGGAUGACGCCAUGUCAGUUGAUUCAGAAUCAGACACAGAUCUCCAAGUUAUCGAGUCUUUGGGGGAAGUUGACAAGCAUCCCGGUGACCAGUGUUGCGGCAGUCUGCAUUGCAAAGGACGAGGAUCACUACCUGAGUUGGACAAUCAUCUACAUGUAUAGACUUUCGAUGACUGCUGGUUUGUGUCAUAUGGUUUAAGGGAAUGCUCUAUAGAUUUGUUUUGAUUUGUUUUAAAUUAUUAAUGCUUAGGCUGAUGUCCAAACCAAAAUUCCAAUAGUAUUGCAAUGCAAGGCUGGAAGUCAUUGGAUAUAACUGCUUGCAUAAACUUGCACACUAAUAUUUUGCACCUUAGCCAUGUUACUAGCACAGGGCUGGAAUUCUUUUACACAGUUAUGGGAUCUAGAGUCAACUCAGUAUCACUGCUUAUAUUAACUAUCACUGCUUCUAUUAACUAUCACUGCUUCUAUUAACUAUCACUGCUUUUGUCAUCUUGCACACUGAUAUUUUUGCACUUUGGCACAGGACUACAAUUCGUUGACUUGGUUAUGGAGUCACAAGCCAACUUUGAAGAAUUGCUCUGCCGCAAAAUAUACGAUAUUUUGAAAAUACCACUGCUUAUAUAUUAACUUGCACACUAAUGUUUUGCACUUUAAUUAGCACAGGACUACAAUUCGUUGACUCGGUUAUGGAGUCAAAAACCAA